GCCGCGUGAGCGAUGAAGGUCUUCGGAUUGUAAAGCUCUGUUGUUAGGGAAGAACAAGUACAAGAGUAACUGCUUGUACCUUGACGGUACCUAACCAGAAAGCCACGGCUAACUACGUGCCAGCAGCCGCGGUAAUACGUAGGUGGCAAGCGUUGUCCGGAAUUAUUGGGCGUAAAGCGCGCGCAGGCGGCCUUUUAAGUCUGAUGUGAAAGUCUACGGCUUAACCGUAGAAGGCCAUUGGAAACUGGAGGGCUUGAGUGCAGAAGAGGAGAGUGGAAUUCCAUGUGUAGCGGUGAAAUGCGUAGAGAUAUGGAGGAACACCAGUGGCGAAGGCGACUCUCUGGUCUGCAACUGACGCUGAGGCGCGAAAGCGUGGGUAGCGAACAGGAUUAGAUACCCUGGUAGUCCACGCCGUAAACGAUGAGUGCUAGGUGUUAGGGGGUUUCCGCCCCUUAGUGCUGAAGUUAACGCAUUAAGCACUCCGCCUGGGGAGUACGGCCGCAAGGCUGAAACUCAAAAGAAUUGACGGGGGCCCGCACAAGCGGUGGAGCAUGUGGUUUAAUUCGAAGCAACGCGAAGAACCUUACCAGGUCUUGACAUCCUCUGACACCCCUAGAGAUAGGGCUUUCCCUUCGGGGACAGAGUGACAGGUGGUGCAUGGUUGUCGUCAGCUCGUGUCGUGAGAUGUUGGGUUAAGUCCCGCAACGAGCGCAACCCUUGAU
rnacentral:rRNA from 1 species